UUUGUGUGGGCCAGCUUGUCUGUGCUGUGGUUGCAGAGACUGAGGUACAGGUGAAGCAAGCAAUUAAAAAAGUAAAGAUCACCUAUGAAGAUCUGGAACCUGUAAUCUUCUCUAUUGAGGAUGCCAUAAAACAUAAUUCAUUCCUAUGCCCUGAAAAAAAACUUGAACAAGGAAACAUUGAGGAGGCAUUUGAAAAAGUUGAUCAAAUUGUUGAAGGGGAGGUCCAUGUUGGAGGACAGGAACAUUUUUAUAUGGAAACACAAAGAGUGCUUGUUAUUCCAAAGACAGAGGACAAAGAACUGGACAUUUACGUGUCAAUACAGGAUCCAGCCCA